rnacentral:lncRNA from 1 species
AGGUGAUAAAAAAACCAACCUAAUUUGAGAAGUCAUUUAUUUAACCCAGGAAAAGCAAAUGGGAGACAAGCUAAACAAAAAGGAAGGCAAAGAAACUUAUUCAAAGGACUUAAUAUUGACAAGGAACAUUUGGGAAAAAAGAAUACUGAGGAAUCAGUGUGAAGUUGAUCAGUACACGCUGCUUGUCAUUUAUUCUACAAAUACAAUAUUUACUAAAAGCUCUUGCAUUUUCAGGACAGAGCAACAGACCCCAAGCAUUGAGGAUCAAAGGGGCAAUAAUCAAAGGAAGGUUGAGCAAUCCUACGCUGGAUAAACCUUGAGACAGGCAACGUUUGCAUUUAGUAUUUCCCACCUUCCCUCUGUAGCCCUCCCGAUGCUGUCCUGCUCCCUCCCAGUCUCCUCACCCGGUCUGGUCCUAGAUCAAAAGUGCCCACCUGCACUCACGCCUAAUAAAUGCCUACUUUCUGGAUUCCCAAGAUCACACCAGGUGUUAGGAAAGUGACCCACUGACUGACUUUCCCUGAGCUAGCUAUACUUUCCCAAGAGGAAAAAAGACCUUUUAAUAAGUAGAUUUCAAGCAACAUAAACAGGAAAAUGCUGAAGAUCAUACUGGAGGGGGGGGAUAAUUCAACGUUUUUGUUUCUGAAGCCCUGAAUCACUGGCCUGAAGACUGAACGGUACUAGCUACCAAUUUGUCAAUGUGGACAAUUUCUCAUCUACGCAUAAAGGACUACCCUAGUGAACAACUCCUUUUAAAACAAAGCUCCUUUAUAACAGACAUCUUUUUAUUUUAUUUUUUGAAAAUCAUUUAAGCAAUUCUGGCUUAAUUCAUAGCUCAAAAUAACAUUCCAGCUAAAGAGUACACAUUCAACUAAGCAAAAAUAUCACCGUGUACAACUUAUAUUUGUCCAUGAAAAAAGUGGAGUACAGACCACUGACAAAAGACUUAUGGUAUCCAUCAAUAUUCUUCACUACUUAUGACCCCUGUCUAUACAGAUCAUGCUGUCUAACUGGAACAACAGGACUCCUCACUGUCUCCAUAAACACGGCCCACACAGACAGGAGGAUAAACUCUAUCUGGUUCUUAAGAGGAGAGGGGAAAGGAGAUCAGAGAGGAUGUCCUCACAGUUCUCCUCCUUAUCUUCGGUAAGCUCCUUAGUCUUGUGACACUAGGCUGCCUGAAACUAGUUUGGAGGGGCUGGGAAAUACAGCACGCAUGGCAAGGACCUGCAGGGCCAGCUCGGCCUCCUGGUCCCUCCCCACAUCCAAAUCUCAAACAGAAAUGGUCUCUCCUUUCCCCUAACCUUAACCCCUUCUUAUGCCUUUCUAUGCAUAUUUUCUUUUCUUCAACAUACGGCAUCCUUUUAAUUCAUAUUUCAAUUACGUUACUCAGGUCUGACAUGCCAGAAAAUGACCCUAUGCCUCUUAAAUAAUUUCUGC